CUCAUGGUUUCACGGUAUUGCAAUGAGAACAAUUUAAAACCCUUAGCGAGAAUCAAGUGGAGGACAAGUCUGGUGCCAGCACCCGCGGUAAUUCCAGCUCCACUAGCGUAUAUUAAAGUUGUUGCAGUUAAAAAGCUCGUAGUUGAACCUCUGUCUGGGGCUAGUUUUGGCUUUGGUCAGGCUAGUUCUAGGCAUCCGCCUACAAGACUUAGAGGGCAUUCAGUUGUUCACUAGGAGGAGUAGGCAUUUUACUUUGAAAAAAUUAGAGUGUUUAAGGCAGGCAAUCGCCCGCAUAUAUUAGCAUGGAAUAAUAGAAUAGGACACUUUUCCAUUUCGUUGGUUAUUGGAAUCGUGUAAUGAUUAAUAGGGACAGUUGUGGGCAUUUGUAUUUAAUUGUCAGAGGUGAAAUUCUUGGAUUUAUUAAAGACAAACUAACGCGAAAGCAUUUGCCAAGGAUGUUUUCAUUAAUCAAGAACGAAAGUUAGGGGAUCAAAGACGAUCAGAUACCGUCCUAGUCUUAACUAUAAACUAUUCCGACUCAAUGUUUGACUGGCCUAUAUAACCAGUUGAGCGUUGUAUGAGAAAUCAAAGUCUUUAGGUUCUGGGGGGAGUAUGGUUGCAAAGCUGAAACUUAAAGGAAUUGACGGAAGAGCACAACCAGGAGUGGAUUCUGCGGCUUAAUUUGACUCAACACGGGGAAACUUACCAGGUUAAAACAAUAGUGGGAUUGACAGUUUGAGAGCGCUUUCUUGAUUGGUUGGGUGGUGGUGCAUGGCCGUUCUUAGUUGGUGGAGUGAUUUGUCUGCUUAAUUGCGUUAACGAACGAGACCUUAACCUGCUUACUAGACUGGCGAUCAUCAAUCGUUAGCUCUUCUUAGAGGGACUUUGGUUGUUUUAACUCCAAGGAAGUUUGAGGCAAUAACAGGUCUGUGAUGCCCUUAGAUAUCCUGGGCCGCACGCGUCAUACAAUGACUAGUUCAGAAAGUUUUCUCCUGACCCGAAAGGGGAUGGGUAAUCUUGAUAAUACUAGUCGUGUUAGGGAUCGAUCUUUGCAAUUAUAGAUCUUGAACGAGGAAUUCCUAGUAAGUGCGGUUCAUCAGACCGUACUGAUUACGUCCCUGCUCUUUGUACACACCGCCCGUCGCUUCUACCGAGUGGGUGGUCCGGUGAGAUAAUUGAACUUCGCAGGUAACUGAGAGGAAAGAUUAUCAAACCUAUCCACCU
rnacentral:rRNA from 1 species